rnacentral:rRNA from 1 species
ACAUGCCUACAACAUAGCAUUAAUGCAUCGGAUUCCAUGAGAACUCUGCAGUUAAGCACCCUCAGGCUAGAGUAGUACUGGGAUGGGUGAUUGCCUGGGAAGUCCUAAUGUUUUACAUGCC